GGCAUGCAAGUCGAACGAGAUCUUCGGAUUUCGUGGCAGACGGGAGCGUAACGCAUUGGUAACCUACCUUCAAGUGGAGCAUAACCCUAAGAAAUUGGGAAUAAUUCUCCAUGUGCUUUAGUUUCAUAUGUUACUAAAGUAAAGAUUUAUCGCUUGAAGAGGGGCCUAUGUUCUAUCAGCUUGUUGGUGAGGUAAAAGCUCACCAAGGCUACGACGGAUACCGGGUGUGAGAGCAUGACCCGGCUCAAUGGGACUGAGACACUGCCCAUACUCCUACGGGAGGCUGCAGUCGAGAAUCUUCCGCAAUGGCCGAAAGGCUGACGGAGCGACACCGCGUGUAGGAAGACGCCCCUUGGGGUGUAAACUACUUUUAUCAAGGACGAACAAAUGACGGUACUUGAAGAAUAAGGGGCUGCUAACUUCGUGCCAGCAGCAGCGGUAAUACGAAGGCCCCAAGCGUUAUCCGGAAUUACUGGGCGUAAAGCGUCCGCAGGCUGUUUUAUAAGUAUGCUGUUAAAUCUCAGGGCUCAACUCUGAGGCCGCAGCGUAAACUGUAAGACUAGAGGGUGGGAGAGGCAACUGGAAUUGUCGGUGUAGGAGUAAAAUCCAAUGAUAUCGAUAGGAACACCAUAUGCGAAGGCAUGUUGCUGGAACACUCCUGACGCUCAGGGACGAAAGCGUGGGUAGCGAAUGGGAUUAGAUACCCCAGUAGUCCACGCCGUAAACGAUGCACACUAGGCAUUGGUAGUAUCGACCCUAUCAGUGCCGUUGAACCAAGCUAACGCGUUAAGUGUGCCGCCUGGGGAGUACGGUC
rnacentral:rRNA from 1 species